AAACAUGCUCCCAGUAUAUGCAACUACGAUCGGUAAGUGAAACGGUAACCAAUGGCAAUGCGAUCUUUUGUUAAUUCAGUGUUACUAUAGAGUAUAUAGAGUAUAGAUAUAGAAACUUUCUUCUCUGGCUGUCUUUCCUUAUUGCCCAUUUACACGGUGACUUGCAUCAAUUUUUCAAACGUAUAUACUAGCUAUCUCACAACUAGGAUUAUCAUGUGAUCUCAUGUGCAUAUUUUCUCACUUGUUCUUAAAAUUAUGGUAUACGGUAUUGUUGAAAAAUUCUACAUUUUGCAUGCGAAAAACAUGUUAUAGUAGAAUUAAUAUGAAAAUAAAAUAUGAAAAUAGUUUUUCGUAUUUCUGAGAAUGAAUCCGCUGUAAUAGAAUCUGCAUGUCCUGACUCCUGGGCUGUAAGAAUCUGCACGUCCCAUUGCCCAUUGGCAUUGCCAUUGGAUAACUCGCUUUGGCUCGAUAGCCGAAUGUAAUAUUAGUUACCGUAUUUGUAACUAUUUUCAGGUAAAAGUUAUGAUGGAAUUUCAAAUGCCUUCUAUAUACUUUUCCUCACAAAGCAAAGGAAAAUGCAUGUUUAUGUGUAUGCAUGUAUGGCAACAGUGAUGCCUGGGCUUGGUGGCGUGUUCCUGCAUGUGUUCAAAACCUACUCCGCAAUAUUCCAAUGUUAUCUGUUAUUAUGACUUGUUUGCAAGUCAUGAAAACUGAAACAGAACUACGCGGGUAUAUAAC